rnacentral:rRNA from 1 species
UACCAGCACCCCGAGUGGUCGGGACGUUUUAUUUGGGCCUAAAGCAUCCGUAGCCGGUUCUACAAGUCUUUCCGUUUAAAUCCAACUGCUUAACAGGUGGGCUGCGGAAGAUACUAUAGAGCUAGGAGGCGGGAGAGGCAAGCGGUACUCGAUGGGUAGGGGUAAAAUCCGUUUGAUCCAUUGAAGACCACCAGUGGCGAAGGCGGCUUGCCAGAACGCACUCGACGGUGAGGGAUGAAAGCUGGGGGAGCAAACCGG